CCGAUCCACCCUAAGUGCCGCUCCGAUCCUCUCCCUUUCUCUUCCCUUAGCUGCUCUCGUCAUCGCUGCUUUUCUCCUUGCUCCUCCCUAAUCUGCUCUCGUCGGCGCUCCUCUCCCUUUCUCCUCCCUCUACUCUCGUUCGUUGCCGCUCCUCUCCUUAAUCUGCUCUCAUUGUCGCUGGGAUCUUCACCCACGCUCACGCAUACCUGUGCCGCCGUCAGCCUCCACCACGAUUCCUCCACAGCACUGCCUACACGCCGUGAUUCUGCCUUUCUCCUCCCAAACUCAUUCUUGUCGUCGCUGCUCCCUAAUCUGCGGAUCUCACCGUGAUUUGUUGUGGAUUGGAAGUUUUGAUAGUCACCUUGCUCCUUUCUACAUAAUCGAAUCAAACAGAUAUUAGAUCAUCAUGGUGUCACCUAGGAUAUCCACUAGAAGCAACACGAUCAUCAGAAAACUACAACAUACUCAAAAGAUAAACUAAAAUUUCACAUGAUCUUGUUAUACCAAC